rnacentral:rRNA from 1 species
AACGAACGCUGGCGGCAGGCUUAACACAUGCAAGUCGAACGCCCCGCAAGGGGAGUGGCAGACGGGUGAGUAACGCGUGGGAACGUGCCCUUCGCUUCGGAAUAGCCCCGGGGAAACUGGGAGUAAUACCGGAUACGCCGUAUUGGGAAAGAUUUAUCGGCGAAGGGAUCGGGCCCGCGUUAGAUUAGCUAGUUGGCGGUGUAAUGGACCACCAAGGCUACGAUCUAUAGCUGGUCUGAGAGGAUGAUCAGCCACACUGGGACUGAGACACGGCCCAGACUCCUACGGGAGGCAGCAGUGGGGAAUCUUGGACAAUGGGCGAAAGCCUGAGUCCAGCCAUGCCGCGUGAGUGAAGAAGGCCUUAGGG